rnacentral:rRNA from 1 species
UACGUAGGGGGCAAGCGUUGUCCGGAUUUAUUGGGCGUAAAGAGCGUGUAGGCGGCCUGACAGGUCUGCUGUGAAAACUCGAGGCUCAACCUCGAGAUGUCGGCGGAAACCGUCUGGCUAGAGUCCGGAAGAGGAGAAUGGAAUUCCCGGUGUAGCGGUGAAAUGCGCAGAUAUCGGGAAGAACACCCGUGGCGAAGGCGGCUCUCUGGGACGGUACUGACGCUGAGACGCGAAAGCGUGGGGAGCGAACAGG